UAGGGAAUAUUGCACAAUGGGCGAAAGCCUGAUGCAGCAACGCCGCGUGCGCGAUGAAGGCCCUCGGGUCGUAAAGCGCUUUUCUGCGAGAUGAGAAAGGACAGUAUCGCAGGAAUAAGUCUCGGCUAACUACGUGCCAGCAGCCGCGGUAAAACGUAGGAGGCGAGCGUUAUCCGGAUUCACUGGGCGUAAAGCGCGCGCAGGCGGUUUCGUAAGACAGAUGUGAAAUCCCCGGGCUUAACCUGGGAACUGCGUUUGUGACUGCGAGACUUGAGUGCGGCAGAGGGGGUGGAAUUCCACGUGUAGCAGUGAAAUGCGUAGAGAUGUGGAGGAACACCGAUGGCGAAGGCAGCCCCCUGGGUCGACACUGACGCUCAUGCACGAAAGCGUGGGGAGCAAACA
rnacentral:rRNA from 1 species